AUGGUUUUCCGCCGCUUUAAAGCACGGAAGUAUAACGACACGAUAAACCCGGGUCGUUCUCCACCCCAUCCGCGAUACCGUCCCUCGUCUCGUCACCCACUUCGCUCAUCUCCACCUCCGGCCGUGUAAUAAGCUCCCUGUACGUUUCGCGUUUUCUACACCGACUACCGUGUACCCUCGUUCAGCCCCGGGAAGCCGGCGUUUGUUCGGGUCGGUGCAUAAAUAGGCUUGCCAAAAGUUUAUCACGGAUUAGCCUCGGCAUUGUGCUCCGUUUCGGCUGGUAAGAAACGAGCCGUAGAGGAAGAGACGGGAACGACGAGCGCGAGAUGCCGGCUGGUAGGCGAGUACACAGGUGGAAGGGUCGGCUCGAGUACACCGAGGGUGUCUACCCACUUGGCUACACACUCGGUCCUCUCUUAUCCAGUAGUCGCGCGCCUCGCCCGCACGUUCUACCGACUUCAACGAGGCAACUGCUUAACCGCGUCAUAAGCAACCUCGCGAAACGCUCUUGGUCGUCGCGUCGAGCACGGAGCCAACUCGCUGGCUCCUAGCCGGAUAGAGUCCCGGCUGCAUCCUCGCAGUGACGCACGCUUUCGCGGGGUCAUCCGACCAUGCGCCGCGCCGCGGAAUGAAGACGAUUACCGUGGGUAAACCUUGACGCCUUCAGUGAAUUUUCCGCGAGGUUUCGAGUGCAUUGUGUAUUUUAGAACCGUACAGGCUCGAGCACGAACGCGGGUGACGUAAACCGGGGACAAAUAAACGUUGUUGGUCCGCGGUAAAUAGUCAUCGAUAUUUGUUACAUGAUCUCGCUUGGAUUGCCGAGCUGUCGGUACGUGAAGGAAAAAUUACGCUCAUUCUCAUUCGAGAUAAAUUCGGAUGCAAAACAGACUAUGCCGUUUGGUUUAUCCCGAUACGAUUUCUAGUUCUGGAGAUAUCGUCGUACUUGUAAUUUUUUCGAUGCGCUAUCCCUGUUCUCGGUUCUCUGUCCCGUACCUUGACCCAGUUACUGACCAGCCUAGCUCUCACUAUAACUCGUCUAGACAUCUGCUUCUAGGAAAACAACCCUUUCUGGGACCAGAAGAAGAACAAGAAUGCGCAGGAGCGAUUCCGUGUGGCGCUUAAAGAUUUUGAUAUUUCUUAAUUUUACUACGUAGAGUCAAAUCAAAAUAAGGCAGGGUGGACAAUAUCUUACUUUUCGUCUAGCUUUAAUUUCGACAGUUAUUGCUAGAAAAGUAAUAGUUCGUGGCCCUUUCUUGGAAUCCAGGAUUCCCGAGACAACCGCGAAAGCCGUCGGAGGAUUUCUUAACUUCGUAACGUGCUGUCCCAUGAAAGUUUCCUCAUGUUGAAUUCAAAAACUGAUUCCCUUAGAAAACGAAAACGAGUUACCUGCUCCAUUUCAGGCUUGACUUGAUAUCGUUGAUCUUUUAAAAAUGUAAUAACCCUGUGGUUUAAAUAAAACAUUAAAUACAUAAA